AAGUUGUUUCGCGCGCUUCCAUGCAAAAUACAAAUCUCCUGGCCAAUCAGGACGCGCCACACAGCUAGCCGUUGCAUUUGAAUUAUUUUAUUUUUCUUUUUAUUCAUUUAAUUUCCUUUUCUUCCAAAAUUAUUUUUAAAUAGCUCCUUUAUUAUUUUUUAGUCCAACUUUUUUCCAUAAUUUCAUAAAUAUAUUUUCUAUCACAAACCAUUUUUGCAUAAUUUUGAAAAUCAUUUUUUCAUUUAAUUAAUAUUUUCUCUUAUUUUUCAUUUCAUUUUAUUUCCACAUUUUUGUUUUAUUCACUUUAAAACAUUUUUCACCCUAAAUUUUGAGGUCAAGCCACCCUAUAUUUUGUUGAACUUAUCCAUUUUUCUUGAAUUUUAUUUUAUGAUUUGAUACCUAUUUUACAUUUUCUCUUUCAUUUUAUUUUAUUAAUCAUUACUUAUUCAUGCUUAAUCUUUUUUGUUUUCUUUUUUAUGAUCACUUGAGGUUAAUUCAACCGUCUUUGAUCCAAAACUGUUGAUAGAUGAUCAUGAAUCAUCUUCAAUACUUUGCAUCAGUGAUAGGUUAGACCUCGAUUUUUGAUAUUUUGAGUCAUUUGAUUUGUGGAUAGAAUGAUCCCUCUGUGUUUGGCUUGAUUCUUCUUUUCACUCUUUCUAUCUUCAUCUCCUCUCUUAUUUUUAAUCAUUGUGUUACAUGUGUUAGGAGAUUAAAUUUGUGUUAAUUCUCUAGUAUGUCUGACCCAUACAUUAUUAUGUUUAUGACUGACCUAAAUAGAUUUAACUUUUCUACAUAAAGCAUAUUAGAUUUCUAACAUAACGCUAAUUGACCCGACACAUUUAAUGACCAUUAACGUCCUACAUUACUUCCGUCUUUACAUUAUGUCCAUUUAAUUCGUUGUCAUUUAAUUCGUCAUUGUUUAUGUGAUUUUAAUUUAUGUCAUAUACUUAAUGGCACUUUAAUGCCAUGGUCCGCCAUUAAUCAUCAAUUUCAUUUCAUACCUACUAAUCUCGCCUUAUAGUCAGUUGUGCAGGUUUUGACUGUGCUAUUGAAUCUUAAUGAAUCAAAACAUCUAUAAAGUACCUUUCGACCUAAUCUUUAACCCUAUGCUUGACUUGGGAGUGUUGAAACCUCUUGGACUUUAGACUUUAGACUUAGGAUUUGGGCCCUUUUCUUAACUCAUAGUACCCUUGCCCAUGCCUUGUAUUCAUUUUAACGUCGUUGUUCUAGUUUCGUGUUAAGGAAACUCUAAGCUGUGUGUUUUGGGAACCCAUCUUAUCGAACGGAAAAUGUGUUUCCCAUAACCAACCUGGACCAUGGAACAUGAAACGCUUCUCUAAAUCUACGAGUUUCCACCAAAUUUCGGUCUGAAAUAGCCAAGUUGAAUUACACGAAUUUAAGAUCUAUUCACACGUAUUUGAAAACUCAAUGGAUUGCCUAUAUAAGCUUUGCCUUCAUUUCUAAGCUUGAAAUCAAAAGAAACUUGAAUACCAUUUAUCCGAUACCUCAAAUAACAGAUCAUUCCUUUUUUGAUUUAAGUUGUUUGCUGUUUCUUUGCCCCAGACCUUCAUCGAUCACCUGCUGAAGCUAACUGAAGAAACUUACUUUGGCUUGAAGCUUUGUGGAACCCUGCAUCCAGAAUCCGCCGCUUGUUGACUUUGAUGCUCCAUCGAAAAGGUGUAGGAUCGGUGACAAACUCAAGCAAAACAGUACGACACUCUCGCCUUGCUCCACUGGAUCAAACCUAUUUUACCUUAGAUGAUCCAGAUUCAUCAUUUAAUUUUUCUUUGAAGAACUGGUUCUUCGAGUUCCUGAGCAAUUCUCUCUACUCAAGAAUCAAUUAUUCUGUGCAGGAAGACAUGAACGAUUGAGAUAUUUUACAACUGAAAUCAAUUGCUGAUCGAUCGUAAAAACAAGAGUUCAUCGAGUUACAAAAUCACAAAUCUGGAGGUUGAAGAUGAAUGCUUCUCUGCGCUUCGUGCAAAAUUCUAACUCUCAUCAGCUGAAUAACUGCGUUGCAUUUGAAUAAUUUUUUUUUCUUUUAUUUUCAUUUAAUUCCUUUUCUCAUAAUAUAUACUCCUUUAUUAUUUUUUAGUCAACUUUUUCUCAUAAUUUCAAUACAAAUGAUUUCUAUCACAAAACCAUUUGCAUAUAAUUUUGAAAUCAUUUUCAUUUAUUAAUAUGUCUCUUAUUUUCAUUUCAUUUUAUUUCCACAUUCUUAUUGAUAUCACGUUGUAACAUUUUUCCGCCUAAAUUUGAGGUCAAGUCACCUAUCGUGUUGUUAACUUCUCCAUUUUUCUGAAUUUUAUUUUUAUGAUGUGUACCUAUUUACAUGUCUGCUUCAUUUAUUUUUUAUUUAAUCAUUACUAUGUCAUGCUUAAAUCUUUGUUGCUUUUUUUAAUGAUCACUUGAGGUUAAUUUCAACGUCUUGAUAUCCAAAACUGAUUGAUAGAUGACAUGAAUCAUCUCAAUCUUUGCUCAGUGAUAGGUAAACCUCGAUUUUGAUAUUUUGCUGAUCAUUGGUUUGUGAGGAUGAAUGAUCCCUCUGUGAUUGGCUGAUUCUCUUUUCACUCUUCUAUCUUCAUCUCCUCCUCUAUUUUUAAGCAUUUGUUACUUGCAAAGUUAGGAGAUAACUUUGUGUGAUAAUUCUCUAGCUAUGGUCUGACCCAUACUAUAUUAUGACUGACACUGAAAUAGAUAUAACUUCUACAUAAGCACUUACGAUUUUAACAAUACGCUAAAUGACCCGCACAAUAAUGGAACCAUUAACUGCCUAACAUUAACUUCCUGUCUUUACAUGAUUUCCAUUUAAUUCUUGUCAUUUAAUUCAAUGUCAUUUAGUUUAUGUUGAUUUAAUUUUAAUGUCAAUAUACUAAUGCACUUUAAUUCAGGUCCAUUAAUCAUCAAUUUCAAUUUCCAUAACCUACUAAUCUCCCUUAUCGUUUGUUGCUCAUAUUUGUUUGACAUGCUCUACUUGCUUAACUUAGGGAAUCAAAAAAUUAUAAAGUAACUUAACCUAAUCUUAACCCUAUGCUUGCUUUGGAGUGUGAAACUCUUUUGGACUUUAGACUUACUUUAGGAUUUAGGCCCUUUUUCUUAACUCAUAGAACUCUUCGGCGCCAUGGACCUUGUAUACAUUUUAACAUCGGUUAUUGUUUCUUGUAUAAGACUUCUAGCUUGUUAUUUGCGGACCACUUAUCAUGCACGGAAAAAGUUGUUUCCCAUACCAACAAUCGACCAUGACAAUGAAACGCACUUAAAAGCUUCAAAAAUCACGGAGUUUUCACAGCUACAAAUUUUCAACACGGAAUCUGAAAUUAUCGCCAAGUUGAUUAACACGAAUUUAGAUCUAGUUUCACCGUAAUUUUGAAAAACCAACGAAGUCCCUAUAUAAGGGAGAAAACGUUUUUGCCUUCACUUUCAAAGCUUUUGAGAAUUUCCAAAGAAAACUCUGAAACCAUUGACUUGCCCGAUACCUCCAAAUACCAGUCAUUCUUUUUUGAUUAGAGUUGUUUGCUUCUGUUUCUAUUGCCCAUAAUCCUUCAUCGACACCCUACUGAGCUAACUGAAGAACCUACUUNAUCUUAACCCUAUCCUUGACUUGGAGUGUUGAAGACCUCUUUUGGACUUUAGACUUUGACUUAGGAUUUAGGCCCUUUUCUUAACUCAUAGUAACCUUCGGUCCAUGGACCUUGUAUACAUUUUAACUCGGUUUUGUUUCUGUUAAGACUCUAAGCUUGUGUUUUGGGACCACUUAUCAUGCACGGAAAAUUGUUUCCCAUAACCCAACACAUCGAACCAUAACAUGAAACGACUUAUAAAGCUCUAAAAUCACGAGUUUCACACCAAAUUUUCACACGGAUUUGAAAUUAGCCAAGUUGAUUUACAAGAAUUUAGAUCUAUUUCACACGUACUUGAAAACCAACACAUUCCCUAUAUAUAGAGGAAACUUUUGCCUUCAUUUUCAAGCUUUGAAAUCCAAAGAAACUCUGAAACCAUUGAUGCCCGAUACCUCAAAUAACCAGUCAUUCUCUUUUUUUAUUUAAGAUGUUUUGCUUCUGUUUCUUUGCCCAUAAUCCUUCAUCGACACCCUCUGAAGCUAACUGAAGAACUACUUUGGCUUGAAGCUUUGUGGAACCUUGCAUCCAGAUCCGCCGUUGUUGACUUUUGAUGCUCCAAUCGAAAAGGUAGAUACGAGUUACAACUUCAAGCAAACAAGUUACGACACUCUUCGCCUUGCUCCACUGAUCAAAAGCCCUCACUUACUUAGAAUUUAUUUCCAGUAUUCAUCAUUUAAUUUUACUUUGAAGAACUAGGGUUCUUCGAGUUCCUGAGCAAAUUCUCUCUACUCAAAGCAAAUCAAUUAUUCUGAUGCAGGGAGACAUGAACGAUGAGAUAUUUUACAACUGAAUCCAUGCUUGAUUCGUGUUAAAAACAAGAGUUCAUGAAGUUACAAAAUCAAAAUCUGGAGGUUGAAGAUGAAGUUGUUUCGCGCGCUUCCAUGCAAAAUACAAAUCUCCUGGCCAAUCAGGACGCGCCACAAAGCUAGCCGUUGCAUUUGAAUUAUUCUAUUUUUCUUUUUAUUCAUUUAAUUUCCUUUUCUUCCAAAAUUAAUAUUAAAUAGCUCCUUUAUUAUUUUUUAGUCCAACUUUUUUCCAUAAUUUCAUAAAAAUAUUUUCUAUCACAAACCAUUUUUGCAUAAUUUUGAAAAUCAUUUUUUCAUUUAAUUAAUAUUUUCUCUUAUUUUUCAUUUCAUUUUAUUUCCACAUUUUUAUUGUAUUCACUUUAAAACAUUUUUCGCCCUAAAUUUUGAGGUCAAGUCACCCUAUAUUUUGUUGAACUUCUCCAUUUUUCUUGAAUUUUAUUUUAUGAUUUGCUACCUAUUUUACAUUUUCUCUUUCAUUUUAUUUUAUUAAUCAUUACUAAUUCAUGCUUAAUCUUUUUUGUUUUCUUUUUUAUGAUCACUUGAGGUUAAUUCAACCGUCUUUGAUCCAAAACUGUUGAUAGAUGAUCAUGAAUCAUCUUCAAUACUUUGCUUCAGUGAUAGGUUAAACCUCGAUUUUUGAUAUUUUGAGUCAUUUGGUUUGUGGAUAGAAUGAUCCCUCUGUGAUUGGCUUGAUUCUUCUUUUCACUCUUUCUAUCUUCAUCUCCUCUCUUAUUUUUAAUCAUUGUGUUACAUGUGUUAGGAGAUUAAAUUUGUGAUAAUUCUCUAGUAUGUCUGAC
rnacentral:lncRNA from 1 species